UAUCUGAUUCUGUGAGCAAACGUUUUUACACGUGUUUGAAUGUGUUCAUGUUUCAGUCCACAAACAAAUCUAUCCCUUAAUGUGUCAUUUAGGUUCUCUCCAAACUGGCAAUGUUCAGACAGUUUCUUCAACUCUGCUACAUAUGUACUAACACCCUCCCCCUCAUUCUGAUCUCUCUUGUGGAAACGAAAACGUUCCGCGAUGAGGAGUGGUUUAGGUGAUUUUGCAAUAUCUCCACAAUCUCUGUGAAUGUUUGAUUUGAGGGCUUCAGAGGGGCAGUCAGAUCUCUUAGCAAACUGUACGUUUUUGGGCCAAUUAAACUCAACAACGCUGGUACUCUCUUGUUAUCAGCAAUGUCGUUUGCAAUGAAGUACUGUUCCAGUCGUUCAAUGUAAGUUGCCCAGUUUUCUUGCGUGUCAUCAAACACAUCUAUUUUCCCGAUGCUAGCCAUUCUCUUUACCUCCGGCUCCACGGGUCUUUGACCUGCCGCCUCGUUCUCGCUCUCCCCUCGUCGUCACUGCUUGCUAGCUGUUGUGCUACAGGGUCAACAUCUUCCUCUCUUAAAGGGUCAACAUCUUCCUCUCUUCCUACGAGCUCCAUCUGCAUUCGUGAUGCACACUGCAGCAGUGAUGGAUGCCGCGGUGUUCUGAUAAAGGAGGUCCGACCUGAAUCCCAGGGUUAAAAUACGGUUCCGGAAGGGCGUUGGGAAAUACCCACCCUCUGUUCACCCCAGUGGAACUCUUUUUCCCUUUGACGAGUUUAAAAUAGCGAAGUACAGUUAUACAUUGAUAUUGUGUACUGUUAUUGUUAAAAUAAUGCUUGUAUAUAACGUUAUCAUUAUUGUAGAAAUGUAAAACUUGAUGGUUAGCAGACUUGCCUUGGAGCUGGCCACUCCCCUUAUAGUCUCCUUGGAACGUCCGAUCAAGUCUGGAUGCUCCUGAUCAGCUCAACUUCCUGUGGCCCACAAACACAACCAUCACGUUAUUUUCAGAUUAGUUUCUAGUGAAAUAACGUCUAGGCAACAUUUAGUAAUGAUCCAAGUAUUUAGGUGAACUAGAGCAAAGACGAAUCAAUAUUUUUUUUGUGUCAUCAGCAGCUCCUCUACGCGGUCGCCGUUACCGACCGACAGGUUAGGUUAUCCGUGGCGAUGGCGAACGGGGUCUCGGUGGUGUCCAGCGCCUUCAACAGCCUCCUCUUCUGCCCCAGGAGGAGGUCUGUCUCGGCCACCAGCUUCUCGAUGUGGCGCUGCAGCUCCGACUUCCAGAAGUGGAUAUUCUGCAGUCUCUCGCCCAGGUGCCGCGUCCCCUCAGCUUGAGUGUGCAGAAUCCCGGACUCGGUCUCCUUAUACAGUGUUUUGGACUCAUGGUGAAUCCUCUCUGUGUUGUUUCAGUCUGUAACCACCUGGUGAAGGGUAGAGAAAGGCUUGAAGUGCCAUUCCUCUGAACGGUACCCCGCGGUAGCCAAGCCAGAGGAGGGAUACAAGUGUAUGUGGGCGGGAGGCCACUCUAAAAGUGUGCAAUGCCACAGAUGUCCCAAGUUUUGAGGGCGCAUGCAAUUGGCACGCUGACUGCAGGAAUGUUCACCAGAGCUGUUGCCAGAUAAUUUAAUGUUAAUUUCUCUACCAUAAGCCACCUCCAACGUUGUUUUAGAGAA